ACUUUUGGUUUCUUGAUUACAGGUUUCUUGACACCUUUAAGCUCUAGUCAAAUAAGAAUGAAUGAACCCUCCCUUGUGGGCUCUUGGUAACUCCUUGUGUUUACGUUGCCGAGGCUCAGAGAGGGGCAGUGACCUGCCUGGAUAACGCAGCCUGGUGGACUAGUCAUGGGACUGGAACAGGUUUCCCUGAUUCCCAAUCCAGAGCUCCCAGUUACCAACUCUGUGUCCCUUGGCCCCAGCCUACUGCCCACUUCUUGUUUACAUUUCCUGCUCCCAGAAAUUCUCCUCAGGAGGGGGCUGGGACUAGAAACUUCCACCAUGGGGUUGUGGAGCUAGCUGGAUGAAGCGUUUCUUAAGGAGCCUUCACUGAGGAGCUCACGCCUUUCCCAGGAGGCUGCUGGGUUGAUUAGCUGUCCAAGCUACACUGUUGGAGGGGCCGUCCGGAAGGGGCUGAGAAUCUCAGUCCUGAGGAUAUACCACCCUCCUCCCAGCCACACCAGAACUCCAUAGCAGCCUCCCCAUCUCCUUCCUCCUCCCCUCCUACUUUCCAGCACGUUGACAGGUUCUGAGACAUUAUCUCUGCAACAUUUACAGUCCUGUGCUCUCUGCUCUCUCUUGGGGAUGGACAGCAGCACCUGCCUUCAAAGGUGUUGUGAGCAUUCAGGGAGAUUCAUUCAUUCAUUCAGCAAAGAUUUAAGUAGCACUUACCGUGUGCAAGGACCUGAUUUAGGAGCUGGGGAAACAGCAACAAAACAGGCAAAGCAGAUACAAUGCCCUUGGAGUGAGGGAAGAGUACAGUAACAGAAAAGGGUCCUUGUUAUGGGGGGAAAGAAAGUGAGAAAUGGGUAUAGAGUUUGCUGUGGUUUGAAUCUGCAUAGCAGAGUUAGGGAAACCUCAAGAAGAAGGUGACAUCUGGGCCAAGUUCUGGAGGCAGAGAGGAAGGCAGCUGUCAGGUAAACUGGAGGAAGAGUAUCCUAGGCAGAGAGAACAGCAGCUGCAAAGGUCCUGAGGCAGGAGGCCUGUGUGGCUGGUGUGGAGGGGGUCAGAGGAGAGAACAGGCUUGAAGCUAGAAAGGAAAGGGAGGUGGGGGCUGUCCCUUUAAAGGAACUGGAUUUUCAUUUCAAGUGAGAUGAGGAAGUGUUGGGAGUGGUUUGAACAGAGGAGUGAGUUGACCUUGGGUUUUACAAAAGGGCUCUUUGAUUGCUGCAUUGAAAUUGAAGGUAGGGAAGGGUAGGCAGCCCCAGGAGACCAUCUGGGAGGCCGCUGAGCUGCAGUAGUCAAGGCCAGAGGUCAUGGCAGCCUGGGCUGUGCCCGUAGCAGAGGGGGUGGUGAGACAGUGGGGUGGCAUCUGGGUAUUUUUGAAGUCGUGGCUGGUGGGAUUUGCUAAUGGACAGGAUAUGGGGCAGAAGAGAAAGAGGGUGGUGAAGCAAGCCCCUGGGAUUUUGACCCGAGCCUGGGAAUGCCCGAGGCCCACACAGGGCAGCCACUGGGAAGCGAUCGUGUUGUUCUUGGUGUCACUUGUCAGCCUCCGUGGGACGCCACCUCGGUCAGAUCAUGGCCCCUCUGUCCCUCUCCUGGACUUUGAUUAUCUUCCACGUUUCCUUCCCCCCACCCUCGUCCCCCGGUGCCGCAGACUGACCCUUGUAAACACAGGUCAGGGCAUGUCACUUCCUUCUUAAAAGGCUGACCUUUCUUACAAGACGAACGCCCUCGCCCCCAUGGAGUUAUCCCUUCAGGACACGUCCAUGUGACUGCUGUGUGCCAGGCAUUGUGCAAAAAGUAUGCCGCAACAUCCGACCCUCCCAGGCCGUGCCCGUUCUGGAUUAGGCUUUGGGCGCCGGUCCCGCUGAGCCCCUUCUGUGGCUGCCAGAAAUGGCCCGUCGUCUCUUCAUCGGCCCUUGCAGGGCAGAUGCAGUUUCCUGGAGCCACAGGGGGCUGUCCAACGCCGCCUGCCAUCCGGUGGGGGGGAUCAGGCACAUGGCGUGUGGAGCUGGAAAUACGGCUCGUGGAGCUGGCGAGGGCUCCGGAGCACUGCCAGCGAGUCUUAGGAGUGAUCUCCAACGUGUAUCGAGCUGCCUCCGGGACCAGGUACUGUGCCGAGCAUUCUGCACCAGUUGGGUCACUUAAUCCCUAUUCCAACCCGUCUCACAGAUGACAAAACUAAAGCACAAACAGAUGAAAUAACUUUCCCAAGUUACCAGCCAGUAGGUGGCAGAGCCAGGAUUCAAGUCCAGAUAAUCUGGCUCCAAAACCCACAUUCUUAAUAACGACUGUGGCCAAAUAUGCAUUAUAACCACGCCCAGAGCCGGCUCCCCGGAUGGUGACAUGGGGGUCAGGUGCUGCUGAAUCUGUGCCCAUGUAACUGAUCUUCAUCAAAGGUAAAACCUCAAAUGGAGACAUUUUUUUUCAAUACAAUGCGAGCCCAUCCCUGAUCAUUUUAUCCAUGCUUUUUCUCUCUAAGAAGGAAUCGGGUCUCUGUUUAGGCACCUUAAGUGGUGGGGGGCUCACUACCUCCUCGAAGCGAACUGUUUAUCAAUAGCAGCUUGUGUUUAAUUAAAUAUAGACCGAUAAGUACAAUUGA